rnacentral:tRNA from 1 species
AUUAACUUAGUAUAAGUAGAGUGCGUGAGAUUGUAGAUCUUGAAGUAAGUUUUCUUAGUUAAGA